rnacentral:tRNA from 1 species
AGUAAAGUCAGCUAAGUAAGCUCUCGGGCCCAUACCCCGAACACGUUGGUUAAAAUCCUUCCUUUGCUA